ensembl:lncRNA
GCCCUUUUAUUUGCAUCAGCGGAAACUAUCUGCUGUUUAAAUCAUUUGUGACUGGAAGAGUACUGGGAACAUUUCAAACAGCACUGUUCAUUUUACGCUGGUUGGAUAUAAAGAGUUUAAGAUUACAUCAGGCUGAUAGAGCAAAUGUUUUUUCCUGUAUGUCUGAGAGGAUGCAUCAACAAAUUCCAAACCAUAAAGAGAGGAUCAGGGGAGACCAGCAUGGAGCAGACAUCUAUAGUGAAUGGACAUAAAUUAAGUGAACUUUCUAAAAUCGAGUGAACUUUUUACAAGUUUACAGGAGAAAAACAAAUUCUGUUCUGUAUAAACUAAAAUGUUAGGUAUAAGCUAAACUCUUAAACAGGAAUGGAAGACUGUCCAGACCCAGCUACAGAAUGAGAACUUCCAGAUUCGUGGACGUGACACAGAAGGUUUCGGUCCAGUGUCGGGAUAACCCAUAUGGAUUUAAUGGUGUGGUGGUGUAUGGGGAUGAAUCCUACGGCAUGACCUUAGGAUAUAUCCCAGAUAUGACUGGCUACAAUCAAUACCUAACUAGGUCAUCAAAUUUGUAGAUGAAUUCGAUUCUUCAUCAGAACAGAGUUUGGAAAUGUAGCUUUACAUCACUUGCUCAACGAAGGAUCUUCUGCUCAUUCAGACGGCACCCAUUCACUGCAAUGUUAUGGACAGAGGACGCAUAUUUUUGCUUAAAGCAGUUUGAAGAUAAAAACAUCUUGACAGCUUUUCACUUCAUAAGACAUGUGAC